UUGCAGACUUAAAAGACCUGGAAGACAAUGGAAUAACUGUGGCAGAGGAAAAAGUUAAAGGGACUGUUUUGUGCAUUGCAGAGGACAAUUUGGAGUCUCAUAAUAUCAGUGGAUUCACAGAAAAUUUUAGUUUUUCUGAAUAUUUCUGCAGGUAUUGCCGGAUAACACGAACAGAUUUUCAAACGGAUCCAAAUGCAUGUGGACCUCAGCACACUCCUGAAAACUAUAAAAUCUGCAGUAGACAUUUUACAGUCUGAGGAACAACAAAAUGUUGAAGAAAUGGGUGAUUCAGAGCUAAACACUUCAAACAUCAGCAAUGCCAUUGAUGCUGUAUUACCUGAACUCCCAAUCGCAACUAAAAAUCUCUUGAGGACACCUUAAAAUCACUUGGAGUGGAGGCCCCAGAAGAUUUCAGAUUUCUUCAGGAAUCAGAUUUGGCAGCUGUACUGAAGCCCAUUCAAGCCAGGAAAUGUAUUUCUGUUCUAAAGGAGACCACACAAAUUUCUGAAACCCCAAAGCAACCAGUCUGUUCAUCGCCAGGAUCUUUUUUUUUUUUAUCCCAGAGUUUUUCAUACUUAUCUCCCAGCACCUCCCCUUCUAGUGUGAACUGGGUGGACAGUUUUGAAGUCCCAUGGAAUAAGUUCCCUGAGGAAUUAAUGCAGGCACUUGAGAGACAGAAAAGGCCAAGCCCUCGGUUGCGUAGGGAAAUUGUCAGGAUAGUUGUUGAAAAUGAUGAAAGUUUGUGCUUGUCCAAGUAGGAAGAAUUUAACGGAGGUCACCAAAAGGAUGGUUGCCAAAUAUCCAAAGUCUUUGCAAGAUGUGAUUGAAGGGAGUGUGAUUGGUCCUGGAUACUACUCCUUUGUCAAACAAUUUCAAGCCAGGGUUGAAAAUGCAAGAAGAACCAGCACACCAAAAAUAAAAAAGUGCAUUCAUGAUACAGAGGAAUGUGACACUGAGGAAGUCACUCCUGAAAAAAGAGUUGCAGUCCAAGAUAGAUACGGCUGCAUUAAUUGGGAGGUGAAAUUUACCCCCCUCAGUGAAACUGCUGAGAGUCAGCUAUUGAAAAACGAGAAGAUGAGGAGUCUGUCACAAACAACUGACUGGAAUGAAGAGGAAGUGAAGGUUGUCAUGAAAUCUACAUACUACAGUCAAUGAAAAGAUAUCAACAAAGGAACAGACAUGAAAACCCUUACUGAGGAGUGCCCAUUUUUUUUUCUGGAAAGUGUAAUGGAAGUGCACUUUAAAGACCUCACAGGAAUACCACUUAAAGAGACCUUCCUAAACAGCAUUGACACAAAGGGAAACAGACUGUUGAACUUCAUGAGGAAUGUUUGUGCAACCAGGAACAAGCGUGUCUUACAGGCUGUCACAAAAAUUAAAAGUUUUGAGAGGACACACAAAUGGUUGCUCAGAGGAUGUGAAAGACUUGAUUCUUCUACUUCUCUCCUAUUUUGAUGAGAAAGAGGAGCUCCUUCUUCAUUCAAAUAGUCACAAGCCUUGCAAAGGAUGUAGAGUUGGAAAACUUGCCUGUGACGCCUUGCAUCAUUGUGUGUGGUGUUUUUUCAUCAUCAAUCCUGAAAAGGGCACAAAGGUAGUGGAAAAGAAGAACAAAAAACGACUCUCAGUGAACCCAAGAGUCUUCACCUUAAUCUUUGACCUUUCUGAUUACAGUGGCGAGAGACAUUGUAAAUGGCCUGCAAAGGUGCCCUGCAACUUGUGUUGUUCCUUGUUCAGCUUUAGUAGUUAUUAUUGUAAAUGUUCGACUUAAACUUUACCUUCUUCUCAAGCUCGGUUUAAAGUGGCAGUUAGAUAGUGGAAAUAUUUUAAAUUCUGAAUCUAAAUUUGAAAUGCAUCUGACUGAUUCUUGUCUGAUUUUAAGACUAAUCUUAAGCCAUUGUGUACUUAUGAUAAAACACAAGAACAGA